AGGGGGUUUGUGUAAAGGUAGCACACCGGACUCUGACUCCGUUUGUGAGGGUUCGAAUCCUUCACCCCCUGCCA
rnacentral:tRNA from 1 species